AUUGAACGCUGGCGGCAGGCCUAACACAUGCAAGUCGAGCGGAGAGGCGGACGGGUGAGUAAUCACUAGGAGUCUGCCUGGUAGUGGGGGAUAACGUUAGGAAACGGAAGCUAAUACCGCAUACUAUCAGAUUAGCAUAGGUCGGAUUAGCUAGUUGGUGAGGUAAUGGCUCACAAAGGCUACGAUACGUAACUGGUCUAAGAGGAUGAUCAUUCACACUGGAACUGAGAAACGGUCCAGACUCCUACGUGAGGCAGAAGUGGGUAAUAUUGGACAAUGGGCGAAAGUCUGAGCCAGCCAUGCCGCGUGUGUGAAGAAGGUCUUCGGAUUGUAAAGCACUUUAAGUUGGGAGGCGUUACCGACAGAAUAAGCACCGGCUAACUCUGUGCCAGCAGCCGCGGUAAUUC
rnacentral:rRNA from 1 species